UUUUUGGGGGGGGGGUCUGGGGGCUAAGGCUUGAGAGGUCUGCAAAAUCCACAGAGAGAAAAGAAAAACAGGGAGAGAGCAGGAUGAUGGAGAGAGAACAGGAUGAUGGCGCGAGAACAAAACGACUGUCCUGAUUGAUUUAAGCCUGGCUGUGUGUUGAUCUUUACCGCUGGCUGAGAUGGAAGUGUGGAAAAAUAAGCUACGAUGGGGAAGAAAGUGGGGGAAAGGAGAACUGUACUAACUUUAUUUGUUUUGUCCCGGCCCCCUUUUUCCUCCCUGCUCCCUCUGUCCCUGAGAAGAAAUUAAAGUGCGUGUAACAUAAACCUGCAUCGGUCAUGCUGUAAAUUCCUUUCAGAAAUACAACGCUCCAAAUCAAACAUCACCCCAAGGCCACGUCUGGAACUCUACCAACCCCUCUACGUUAGCCGCUACCGUUUGCCCGAUCUGCCCAGUUUCCAGACCCCUCACCAGGGUAAAGGCGGGUACUGGUCCAGUCCUCAGCGGUACCGCCCGAGUGGCAGCACAUGGCAGAACCUACGACGGCACGUCCUCGUAGUGCCGGGCAACACGGGCUUCUCCGACAUCACGUCC
ensembl:lncRNA